CAGAUGCAGCAGGUCCCAGCUCUCACUGAGCACCCUGGCUCACGGUAAUUGUGUCUGAAUCUCUCUGAUCUUACUUCACCUCAUUCAUGAGGGUAGAGAAAAAAAAAUCCUAAAUUUGAAUCUCAUUUUCUGUUCUCUUUAUUCAUAAUACAACAAGCAGAUUUUUCACUGACCAGAGAUGGUUUGCCAUCCCUUUGAAUUAAUUGUUCUUAGUGACCAGUUGGAUGCACCCAGGGACCUGAGAGAAUAAUCUGCAAGAUCUGCUAUGAAUCAUGAGGAUGCAUGCUGCAUAUUAUAUUUUAUGGUGUCUUUUAUAGCCACUGAAGUAAAUAUAAAUGUCCUUUUUGUUC
rnacentral:lncRNA from 1 species